CUAAAAACGUCCUCUCUCUCCUCUUCCUCAGUGAUGAUGAAGGUCUCUCUGAUCGUCUUGUGUUUACUGAGCCUCAGUCUGAGCAUGCCAAUCCACAGAAGAAGAGUGACGAGGUCAGACAGCUCAGAAGGAGAGGAGGAGAGCGACUCCAACGAAACCAGCAAUGAAGAGGAGGACGAAGAAGGAGGGACGGAAAGAGGAGACGCUUAUAAAGAGGAAGAACAAAAAAAUAAUGAAGGAAAAAAAGAUCAAGAGCAGAGAGAAGGAAGAGGAGACAUAGA